GACGAACGCUGGCGGCGUGCUUAACACAUGCAAGUCGAACGGAAAGGCCCUGCUUUUGUGGGGUGCUCGAGUGGCGAACGGGUGAGUAACACGUGAGUAACCUGCCCUUGACUUUGGGAUAACUUCAGGAAACUGGGGCUAAUACCGGAUAGGAGCUCCUGCUGCAUGGUGGGGGUUGGAAAGUUUCGGCGGUUGGGGAUGGACUCGCGGCUUAUCAGCUUGUUGGUGGGGUAGUGGCUUACCAAGGCUUUGACGGGUAGCCGGCCUGAGAGGGUGGACGGCGACCUGGGGACUGAGAUACGGACCAGACUCCUAUGGGAGGCAGCAGUGGGGAACAUGGCACAAUGGGCGGAAGCCUGAUGCAGCAACGCCGCGUGCGGGAUGACGGCCUUCGGGGUGUAAACCGCUGUCGCCUGUGACGAAGCGUGAGUGACGGUAAUGGGUAAAGAAGCACCGGCUAACUACGUG
rnacentral:rRNA from 1 species